UCGGCGAUUAGAAUUAGAAAAAAUACUUUUUUAACUAUACUUUUAAUAUAUUAUUUGAUAAAUUUGGAAUUCGGAUGAAAAAAUUAUAGAGAGUUGAAGUCAAUGCAUCUAAAUCAAAGGUAGUAUGUAAGUGAUUAUAUUUAUAGUAAUAGUUGGAGCCAUAUCUUGAGUUUGAGGACGAUUUUUUGGCUCAAAUCUUUUAAAGAAGGUAGAUUAUUGUAUUAAAAAGCUAUGCAUACAAAAAAUUUGGUAUUUGAGUGCUUAAUUUGUGAGAUAUGAAGAAAAUUGGACGUAGGUGUAUAAAAACUAGGAUUUGAAGCUACUAUUAGAAUUUUGGUGAUAUCUUAAGAUUUGCGAUGAAUUUGUAGUUGCAAUUUGUUGUGAUAGUUGGUAGAAAUAUAUUACUAUAUUUUAUAAAAUUUUAGUGUGU
rnacentral:lncRNA from 1 species